CAGCAGCCGCGGGAAUACGAAGGUCCCGAGCGUUGUUCGGAAUCACUGGGCGUAAAGGGAGCGUAGGCGGCGUGGUAAGUCAGAUGUGAAAUCCCGGGGCUCAACCCCGGAACUGCAUCCGAUACUGCCAUGCUAGAGGAUUGGAGAGGUAGCUGGAACUCUUGGUGUAGCAGUGAAAUGCGUGGAGAUCAAGAGGAACACUCGUGGCGAAAGCGAGCUACUGGACAAUAACUGACGCUGAGGCUCGAAGGCCAGGGUAGCGAAAGGGAUUAGAUACCCCUGUAGUCCCUGUCUCUUAUAC
rnacentral:rRNA from 1 species